rnacentral:rRNA from 1 species
CGAGAGGUGCAAGCGUUAUUCGGAAUUAUUGGGCGUAAAGGGUGCGUAGGCGGUAUGAUAAGUCUGUUGUUAAAUAUCCUGGCUCAACCAGGAAAAUGCAAUGGAAACUAUUGUUCUAGAGGGUGAGAGAGAGAAGUGGAAUUCCAGGAGUUAGCGGUCAAAUGCGUAGAUCUCUGGAGGGACACCGAUGGCGAAGGCAGCUUCUUGGCUCAUUUCUGACGCUGAGGCACGAAAGCGUGGGGAGCAAACAGGAUUAGAUACCCUGGUAGUCCACGCUGUAAACGAUGAUCACUAGAUGUUGGUUCGGCUUGCCGGAUCAGUGUCGUAGCUAACGCGUUAAGUGAUUCGCCUGGGAAGUACGGUCGCAAGACUA